rnacentral:rRNA from 1 species
UGGUCAAGUUAUUAAGGGUGCAGGGCGGAUGCCUUGGCACUAGGAGCCGAUGAAGGACGUGAUAAGCUGCGAUAAGCUUCGGGGAGUUGCACGUAAACUUUGAUCCGAAGAUUUCCGAAUGAGGAAACUCACUUAGAGUAAUGUCUAAGUAUCAUUAAGUGAAUACAUAGCUUAAUGAGGGGAACUCAGGGAACUGAAACAUCUAAGUACCUGAAGGAAGAGAAAGAAAUUCGAUUCCGUAAGUAGCGGCGAGCGAACGCGGAUUAGCCCAAACCAAUAAAGUUUUCUUUAUUGGGGUUGAGGACAUACCACAUAUAAGAGGUCAUUAUAGACGAAGAAGUUUGGAAAAACUCAUCAUAGAAGGUAAUAAUCCUGUAGUCAAAAUAAUAAUUCUUUAGGUAUGAUCCAGAGUACCACGGGACACGUGAAACCCUGUGGGAAGCAGGAGGGACCACCCUCCAAGGCUAAAUACUACCUAGUGACCGAUAGCGUAUAGUAC